AAGUCGAGCGGCAGCGACAACAUUGAACCUUCGGGGGAUUUGUUGGGCGGCGAGCGGCGGACGGGUGAGUAAUGCCUGGGAAAUUGCCCUGAUGUGGGGGAUAACCAUUGGAAACGAUGGCUAAUACCGCAUGAUAGCUUCGGCUCAAAGAGGGGGACCUUCGGGCCUCUCGCGUCAGGAUAUGCCCAGGUGGGAUUAGCUAGUUGGUGAGGUAAGGGCUCACCAAGGCGACGAUCCCUAGCUGGUCUGAGAGGAUGAUCAGCCACACUGGAACUGAGACACGGUCCAGACUCCUACGGGAGGCAGCAGUGGGGAAUAUUGCACAAUGGGCGCAAGCCUGAUGCAGCCAUGCCGCGUGUAUGAAGAAGGCCUUCGGGUUGUAAAGUACUUUCAGCAGUGAGGAAGGAAGUAUCGUUAAUAGCGGUAUUCUUUGACGUUAGCUGCAGAAGAAGCACCGGCUAACUCCGUGCCAGC
rnacentral:rRNA from 1 species